rnacentral:rRNA from 1 species
UACGUAGGGGGCAAGCGUUGUCCGGAUUUAUUGGGCGUAAAGAGCGUGUAGGCGGUUAGGUAGGUCCGUUGUGAAAACUCGAGGCUCAACCUCGAGACGCCGAUGGAAACCAUCUAACUAGAGUCCGGAAGAGGAGAGUGGAAUUCCUGGUGUAGCGGUGAAAUGCGCAGAUAUCGGGAAGAACACCUAUGGCGAAGGCAGCUCUCUGGGACGGUACUGACGCUGAGACGCGAAAGCGUGGGGAGCGAACAGG